CCAAAUCCCAUAGAAGAAAACCCCAAAUUUUAAUACUAUCUGUUGAUAAUAACAAUUGUGAAAUCAGAAAAUUGUACAUUUCUCUAAUUGAUUAUUGACUGAAGAAGAAAGCUCCAAACUGUAAUCACUUGUAACAAAAAGUUGAAAACCUAAGAAGAUAAAUGCCAAAAUUAGAGAUUGAGCAGAAAUUAUUCUUAGAUCUAAUACUUAUAUCCAUAAUUGAUUGAAUAGAAACAUGAAGAAUUAAUAAAAAUCAAUUACCUUUUCGAAGAUGAAAGUAGUCAGUGAUGUUGUUUUGUGAAGAGGAAAGAGAGAGAAGAAUAAGAGGAAGAAGAUUAUGAUGAAGAGAAGAGAGAGAUAUGGAGAGAGAUGAGGAGGAGAAGGAAGGAGAAGAAGAGAUCGAUGAAUCUUCAACCUUUCUCCUCCAUGAUUUCUUCUUUCUUUUUCGAGUGGUUUUUUUU
rnacentral:lncRNA from 1 species